ACACCCCACCACACUCCAAUCUCUGGCAGGGCUAAGAAAUGCAGCUUCUGAAUGAUCUCCCCAUUAAUAGCAAAGAGAACUCGUUCGGCCAUUUUUGGUAUUCUGGUUUGGUGUUUUUGAGUGUAAGAGGAUGGAAUGUUGUUGUGAAGAUGAUGGCAAGCAAUGCUCAAUAUUUAUAACAAUCUUCCCCCGCCAACUAUCAAGUUAUUUUAUUUGUUUUAUUUAAUUUAUUUAAUUUUAGGCGGGCCAUUUUUG
rnacentral:misc_RNA from 1 species